GGCGACGAUCAGUAGCCGACCUGAGAGGGUGAUCGGCCACAUUGGAACUGAGACACGGUCCAAACUCCUACGGGAGGCAGCAGUGGGGAAUAUUGCACAAUGGGCGAAAGCCUGAUGCAGCAACGCCGCGUGAGUGAUGAAGGCCUUCGGGUCGUAAAACUCUGUCCUCAAGGAAGAUAAUGACGGUACUUGAGGAGGAAGCCCCGGCUAACUACGUGCCAGCAGCCGCGGUAAUACGUAGGGGGCUAGCGUUAUCCGGAUUUACUGGGCGUAAAGGGUGCGUAGGCGGUCUUUCAAGUCAGGAGUGAAAGGCUACGGCUCAACCGUAGUAAGCUCUUGAAACUGGGAGACUUGAGUGCAGGAGAGGAGAGUGGAAUUCCUAGUGUAGCGGUGAAAUGCGUAGAUAUUAGGAGGAACACCAGUUGCGAAGGCGGCUCUCUGGACUGUAACUGACGCUGAGGCACGAAAGCGUGGGGAGCAAACAGGAUUAGAUACCCUGGUAGUCCACGCUGUAAACGAUGAGUAC
rnacentral:rRNA from 1 species